ACACACGCGCCUCCUUGUGGCAUUAAUGGGGCACUGCAUCGGUUUCGAUGAGCCUUUGUGACACACAGCCUGUGCAAAAGAUCACCUUUCAUCCUGUUGUUUCAGCGUCAGCUGGUGGGCUGGGUUCAGUAAUUGUAUGCUUACUACAAGGGGUAAAUGAAAGCCAACCCAUGUGAAAUAAUAUCAGUGUGUUGUAACAGAGCUAUCCGAGUCAGGGGAUUGUGUUGCAGGUCUCCCCUGCCGCGCACUGUCUGUGUGUACCGGUAAUUACUGGAAAGACUCAAGCUGUGGGAAAAGAAAGAAUCCAAAAACCAAAGCAAACAGUGUAAUACUUUUCUUUUACUUUAGGCGAUACAGUUAUUUAGUUAUUUCAUACAAAAAGUAAAGUUGUAAGUAGGUGCCGUUUUGGCAAACAAAAUGGUAAUGUUCAUAACGAAAUAAGGAUUACGGGGUUCAAAUAUUUAAUUAGUGCUUCUCAUGAAACUGUAAUGAAAAGUACCGAGGCACCUUUACACGUCCAGGCACACCCAGUGCUCUGGAAAUGCCCCCAGCAUGUGGUGUCAUUCACCGUCUCACACAUUUCCGACACACCCUGUUAAACUGGCAUUUGCUUUGACGUUUCGCAAUGCGCACUUAACACGCAGAUAGUACAGUCUUUCAACUGCAUUAAUCCUAGAGCAGAAUCCAUCAGAGGACAAUGCUGAAUGAACGAGCGAGUGUGAAUUAUUCAUGCUAAAGGUUUAGCCACUCCUCAUACAGAAAACGAAAGGCCCGUGAUGGUCCCUAGGCUUGUUUAAUGACCUUAAGAAUGGACCAGACUAUCAAGUUUGUAAAUUUUUGUUCACUUUUCAUGACCUUGUGGUUAAUCAGUGUAAUUUGCAUAAUGACAUGCGAUUUAAAUUCCAGAGUAUCUGCAGUGACUAGCAUCAGGCCCACUAUGUUGUUAAAAAGAUAGCAAAAAAUGGUUAAUAAGUGAAGCUAGUAAAACACCACAGUUCCCAAAGCACUCAAACGACAUUUGACUGGUUGUCAAAAGUCUCUUGAGUGGGUAAGAUGUAUAUUGUUGCAAAAAAUGCAGAGAUUAUGUAAUUCUUUAAAGUUUUACUUCCUGGGAUGUUUUUUAAAUAUUUUUGGCAUGUUUCAGGUCGGCUUCCUAAAAAUGAAAAUUCAUUUGAAAGAAUGCUGAGGAACAUUCAAACCUAUCCACCUUGUUUUUUCCCGUAAGAGCGGAUGAGACCAUUUGUAAAUUAUUGUGUCCGUUUCAUUAGCUUCCAGCUAUUUGUAUCUUUACAAAACAGUUUGUUUUGGUGCUUGACAUUGCAAAAUGAUGUCUCACAAUAUUAUUUAAUGUAUUAUCUCAUUUAUGAUCAUAAUUGUUUGUAGUGCAAACAGUUUUACUGUUUACCGCACUGUUACUGUGUUUGGUAUUUCCCUACAGCCGCUAACAAACCGGAAGUCUCACAUGUUAACAAAAAAACGGCUUACUGAACAUGUUUGGACAUAUGGAAACGGUUAUUUUCUUAGUUCCUAGUUCCUUGUUGAGUUAAAAAAACACACACAGAGAAACACACUCAAUACUUCCUGUCUUACCCAGCACAUGGCGGACAGUGUGGCAAAUCACAGGAAUUCUUCUCACUCCAAAUGGAAUGGCAGUGUGUGGUCUUGGUUAAGCAGAUGGCUAAAGACGUUUGGCCUUGGAAACGUUGGCAUUUGAAUGAGAAAAAUGGAGGGAAAAGGAAGAACACACCUUGGCAUGCCAGGUGUGCCAUGAGCAGAUUAAUCAGUUGUGUGCGUCACAUUUCCACAGCAUUACCAGCCAUGCAAGUCCUUCCACCCUGUAGAUCUCUUACUCUGCGUCAUUAUGUGCAAGUCUGAGCCAGAAUGGAGAGAUUUGUUUUACAUGUAGGUCAGAGUUUGUACUAGCAUUUACAGUCAACUUUAUUUAAUCACAUUUCAGGGCAUUUUAUACAAAAAUGGGUCGUAUAAAAGCUCCACCUUCAAAAUCUUUCCAUAA